AGCUGUGCAGGAGGGUAUUGCAGACCAGCUGAGGAGGAUGUUCCUCGUUCCUGCAAAGCACUUCUGAGAGUCCCAGCUAUUCUCCCCUUGGCUGUGUCAGUGCCGGCUUUCUGCUACAAGUGAGACUUCUUGAAGUAUCUUAAUUGUGACCAUCUGGAGGGUUCUUUGCCCCUGGGUUGCAGAGAGGGUAUUGGUCAGAGGGGGCUCUCCUGUUAUGGGACUGCAGCCUUCCCAUGAAGAAAGCUUCUCCCACCACUCCAAGUGCCUUCUCGUCAAGUCCCAAGAGUUGCCUUGUGGAGCAUCUUCUUCUGUCCCAGACUCCAGUGACAGGAAGAAAUGAUCCAAGUACCUCUGACCUUGCCUUCAAUCUACAAAGCAGGAUCCCAUUCUGUCAGUGCCCAAGAGCCAGGAUCCACAGCAGAGCUCUUCCACGAACUGCUCCCACACAAACGGGGCCCGGGCAGAAAAGAGCUUGGCUUUGUCCUGGGCACUGUCAGUGCUCAUCAAAACAACCACACGAUGGUGGUGUCCGCUCGAAAAAGAAGGAAACACACUGAGCACGGCUCAAAAGCACCCGCCCAGGACACAGCCAAGUCGGAAACGGCCCUGCUCUCAAAUCAACUGUGUCAGGACAAAAACGUUUGGUGAUCUUCCCCUUCCAAGUGCACACUCUUCUUUGCACCCCCCUCAAAGGGCAACACAAACUCUUUUACCCAACAAAGCUUUUCACUCUCGAAGAGUGAAACUUCUAACAAACUUGAGAACAUCUGUCAAAAACAGAGCUCACAAAAGUGCCAGCUGAAAAAGCUCUUGCUGCCUACAUUUCAACUGCACCCAUCAAGCUAGCAGCACACAUCCUGCUAUCAGCACUUCUCAGCUCUAGGUACCAUCCUAAGCCUUCAGUCUCACAGUCAGGAUCCAAAUGGAGCAGCACCAGGGUCUGCUCACACACUAAGGCUAACAGGACAGAAAGUGGAACAGCUUGGUGUCUGCAUUCCCACUGACAGUUCAACAGCUCUAACCCAGAGAACUGCCUAUUGGGAAAAGUCUUUAAAUUCACUAGGCUCACCCUAAGUGUGCGUCCAAACUUGCUUUCUUUGCCAAAGAGAGGAACUAGAAGCCCAUCUCAAGAGAAAUGGCGUCCCCUCCUCCAAAAUACAAAGCUUCCAGUGACUGAUCCCAUACAAAAGUGCCAGAACACUGUUUACCUGCCCGGGGCACUGGAUCAGCUGCACACCAAGCCUCAGUGUAGCUGUUUACCUUGUCCAAAACAAGCGUGCUUCCAGAAUUUCAAGAAGGUCACCUCUGAGAAGUGGGAACUACAUGCCAAAUUGAAUCUUUCAGGAGACAACCUUCCAAAGAUGGAUACUGACUCCAUAAUAAUACACACUGAGGCAGUGCUUUCACACCAAAUAUGCCAGGACAGAAAGUUGCGACUGCUGUUGACCUGCACAACACAGCUUCUUAUCUGCACCUCCAACACUUGGGUUACAUGCUUUCCUUCCCAUGAAAAAGCAUUGCCAUUCUCAUUCAGGAACCUGGCGAGCAGAAGUUGCAUACCCUGUCUCCAGUAUUGAACAUGUCCAACAAUGGCUCCUACACAGAAGGAGCCAGGACAGAAAUGUCUUGCUGGACUAUACCUUCCCAUGGUCCCUUGACAUCUGCCCUACCAACACUGGCACUAUGUCCUUUGCUUCCCAAGGAAAAGCACUCUGAGGCUCCCGGCCAUGCCUUGCCUUCAGUACCUUGCCUAGUUUUCCCAGCCUGCCCUGGCUUUGCUUGCCUUGCCUACGGCAGUCUUGCCUCGCCCUACCCAGAGCUUCCUGGCUUUGCUUUGCCUUGCCUACCACUCCUUGCCUUGCCUUCCACGCAGGGCAGGCAACUGUGGGCAAGUCAAGGUACAGGUGGGCAAGGUCAGAGAAGAGGGGAAAGCAGAUGGAGUGGUAGGCAGGAGCAGGCCCAGAAGGGGCAAGGCUGGGCACAGGAGGGUAAGCCCACUGAAGGGUAAGGCAGGCAGAAACAGGAAGGGCUAGGCAAGGCAAGGCCCUGGAGGAAAACAGAAGGCAGGUCAAGGGUGGGGCAUUCAAGGGAGUGUGAGGCUGGGGAGGGUUUGCAGGGUAAGGCAAGGAGACUGUUGGGAUUCCCAAGGCAAGGCAAAUAAGAUGUGCCUUCAAGAAUUGCUGGCAUACAAAAACAGCCAGGCACAGAAUGCUCUGUCUGGCCUUGAUCCCACAUGGGCUGUCUCUAAUCUGCACCUAAAGCACCUGGGCCACCUGCUUUCCUGUGUAUGCAAAAGAACUGUUAUUCUGGUCCCAGAGCCCAAGAGCAAAAUUUGGGUUGCCUGUCCAGUAUUUAACACAUGCAAGUGCUGAUUCCACACCAAAAAUGCCCAGAAAGGCAGAUCUGGCUGCCUGGGACCUCCCUAUGGCUUCUUCUCACAUGCUUCUGGAGCACUGGGGUUAUUGAUCAGCCUUGGGAGUCCUCAGGGGAGCAGGCAGGGCAGGACAGGGCUGGGACAUGCCCAGAGAAAUGGGGUCAUGGAUUCCAGGUGAGGGAGGAGUGAGCAAAGCAACAGAAGGCAAGGCAGGGGUUCAAAGGCAAGGCAAGACAAUCAGUGGCUUUGCAAGGAAACAAAAGAAAGAGGUAGGCAAGGCAAUUGAGUGUUAGAAGGAGAAGGAAAAAAAGGUUGACCUGGACAAGUGGGAAGGGAAGUCAGGUAUGAGUGAGCAAGUCAAUACAAAACAGUGCAGGGAAGGAAGGCUAAGGGAAGGCUACAGACUGCACAGCAAGGCAAAGAAAAGGAAGGGACAGGAAAGGCAAGGAAAUGCAAACAAGGUGAAGGCCUGGAGGUAAGGCUCUGGAGGAAAGCAGUAGGCAGGUCAAGGGUGGGGAAUGCAAGAGAAUGCAAAGCAAGGGAGGAUCAGCAGGGCAAGGCAAGGAAACCUGGGGUGCC